AUUACAACAUCUACAAACAUUUUUCAUAUUUUUAUUUACUUAGCCUACGAAAUGUGACUCCUUACGUCCUUACAUAUGACGUAAUAUUUCAAAAAUUUAUUCUUUAUCAAUUAGGCUGUCACCAUUGUAACAAAAAUAGCACGAUUGUUUACUCGUUUUAUAUUUUUAUGUACGGGUGUGGUGGUAACCUUUUUGUGCUUAUAAAUACCGAACACAAAACGUAUUAAUGCGUAUUCGGCUAAAAAGUUGUCUUCAAGUCGUGAUUGGCUAGCUAAGUACUUCUUUUUUUUCGAAAAAAACUGAACGAGUAGAAGAAAAUUAGCAUUCGUCUGAAUACAAUGUCCAAGUAUUUGGCAGUUGCUAUAAUGGCGGUUUGUAUGCUGAGCUGUUUGCUGUUGGAGCAAGUUAGCGCUGCCCCGAUGCUCAUCCCUGGAACUAAACGUUGAAGUUCGAGUAAGGCACAGGAAAUCAAACUCUGAAGAUGGACACACACAUAAAUAAAAAUCAUCUAUCUUUAUCAAUAGGUAUACCCAGGUAAUAAAAUUCAAAUAAAUCGUUUCAUUCUUUGUAUUUCAAAAAAAAAAAAAAAAAAAAAAAAAAAAAAGGGUUUACGUUACACAAAUUAUAAAUAUCUAUAACUAUGAAUCUGUAUCUACACAUUCAAAAUGUGACUUUUUGAUGAAUUAUAAAAAUCAGAAUAAAGCAUUAUUAAUCAA